rnacentral:lncRNA from 1 species
UCUCUCUCUACCUCAUUCUCUCCACUCUUUAUCCCAACAGUUGGAAAAACCUUAGUCACCAAACCCUUAUUUUCCUCUCUUCCCUGGUUGUCAGUGCUGCUCUGGCCACAGGCGGGAGAGUUAUCUCAAGCGCACCACCAAUAACAGUGUGGAUGUUGCAUAGAGCAGUAGCUCAGUGGCACAAGGAGCGUCGGGCGCUGAAGCAUCGCGAGUCGGAAGGUCAGUGUGCGGUUGCUAAUUGGGUGCCAAUGAGGAGUCGGUAGUGGUGGGAAUGCCUACUGGUGACAAAGGUUGUUGCCGAUGCGAGGGAGUGGCUAUUGGAGUAGGGUUUUGCGAGCGACGUGAGCUCCGCUGUUGCAAUGACAAAUGAUGGGGUAUUUGUGGAAAUUUUUGUAAUGAGUGAAGUUCAACGUGGGAAUGAAUUUACUCAAAAUCAAUACCAAUUUAAUAAUCAUAGCUCUAGGAGCUAAGAUCUCAUCCCAAUUGUUGAAUUAAUCACGAAAUUGAGAAUGAGUGAUAAUAGAGUUAGAGGAGGAAGAAGAAAAUAUAAGCAAAAUAACACUUUAAAAUGCUAGUUGUCGGCCCCACUUCUGGAAUUCCAUUGAGUUGCUAUUGCCUCGUCAUGACAAAUUUGCCACAAUCUGGUGCCAGAGUUUGUUGGUUGUACGAGUUUUGUUUGAUCGCGAUUUGGGGAAAUUUGGUCACGAUCUGGUGCCAGAAAAUUUGGGGUGAGUUUUGUUGUUUGUGUGCAGUUGGUGGUUGUAGUGCAGGCUGUUUGUUUAUUGCGGUAAUCGCUCUGAUUGUGGUAGAACAUGCGGGGAGUGUGAUAGUAGUGGUGACGGUGGUUUGUUAUGGUGGCGGUAAACAGGUAGAGACUGUGUCAUAGUCGAUUUGUUAAAGGUGUUGGUGGUGGUGAUUGUGAUUAUUGUUUGUUGUUGUGGAUUUGAGAUGAAUGUAAUAUUUAUGAUCAUAUAUUUGAGUUGAAGGUAAUAGUGGUGGUACAUUGGGGGUUAUGGUGGUGGUGGAUUAUGGUACUGAUGUGUGAUGGGCCUAGAUUUGUUUUGUGGUGACCCUUUGUGAAAAAUAUGAUUUAUUGCGA